rnacentral:rRNA from 1 species
CCGAACGCACCGCUUCGGUGGUGAGUGGCGAACGGGUGAGUAAUACAUAAGUAACCUGGCCUUUCGAGGGGGAUAACUAUUGGAAACGAUAGCUAAGACCGCAUAGGCAUAAUUCUCGCAUGAGAGUUGUGUUAAAUAUCCUAUGGGAUAGCGAGAGGAUGGACUUAUGGCGCAUUAGCUAGUUGGUGAGGGUAACGGCCCACCAAGGCGACGAUGCGUAGCCGACCUGAGAGGGUGGACGGCCACACUGGGACUGAGACACGGCCCAGACUCCUACGGGAGGCAGCAGUAGGGAAUUUUCGGCAAUGGGCGAGAGCCUGACCGAGCAACGCCGCGUGAGGGAGGAAGUAUUUCGGUAUGUAAACCUCUGUUAUAAAGGAAGAACGGCGCAUGUAGGGAAUGACAUGCGAGUGACGGUACUUUAUGAGAAAGCCACGGCUAACUACGUGCCAGCAGCCGCGGUAAUACGUAGGUGGCGAGCGUUAUCCGGAAUCAUUGGGCGUAAAGAGGGAGCAGGCGGCAACUAGGGUCUGCGGUAAAAGACCGAAGCUAAACUUCGGUAAGCCGUGGAAACCGAGGAGCUAGAGUGCAGUAGAGGAUCGUGGAAUUCCAUGUGUAGCGGUGAAAUGCGUAGAUAUAUGGAGGAACACCAGUGGCGAAGGCGACGAUCUGGGCUGCAACUGACGCUCAGUCCCGAAAGCGUGGGGAGCAAAUAGGAUUAGAUACCCUAGUAGUC